UACGUAGGGUGCGAGCGUUGUCCGGAAUUAUUGGGCGUAAAGAGCUCGUAGGCGGUCUGUCGCGUCCGCUGUGAAAACUCGGGGCUUAACCCGAGCCUGCAGUGGAUACGGGCAGACUAGAGGUAGGUAGGGGAGAAUGGAAUUCCCGGUGUAGCGGUGAAAUGCGCAGAUAUCGGGAGGAACACCGGUGGCGAAGGCGGUUCUCUGGGCCUUACCUGACGCUGAGGAGCGAAAGCGUGGGGAGCGAACAGG
rnacentral:rRNA from 1 species